rnacentral:rRNA from 1 species
UGGGGAAUAUUGCACAAUGGGCGGAAGCCUGAUGCAGCGACGCCGCGUGGGGGAUGACGGCCUUCGGGUUGUAAACUCCUUUCACCAUCGACGAAGGUUUUCUGACGGUAGAUGGAGAAGAAGCACCGGCUAACUACGUGCCAGCAGCCGCGGUAA